GACGAACGCUGGCGGCGCGCCUAACACAUGCAAGUCGAACGAGCGAGAGAGAGCUUGCUUUCUCGAGCGAGUGGCGAACGGGUGAGUAACGCGUGAGGAACCUGCCUCAAAGAGGGGGACAACAGUUGGAAACGACUGCUAAUACCGCAUAAGCCCACGGCUCGGCAUCGAGCAGAGGGAAAAGGAGUAAUCCGCUUUGAGAUGGCCUCGCGUCCGAUUAGCUAGUUGGUGAGGUAACGGCCCACCAAGGCAACGAUCGGUAGCCGGACUGAGAGGUUGAACGGCCACAUUGGGACUGAGACACGGCCCAGACUCCUACGGGAGGCAGCAGUGGGGAAUAUUGCACAAUGGGGGAAACCCUGAUGCAGCGACGCCGCGUGGAGGAAGAAGGUCUUCGGAUUGUAAACUCCUGUUGUUGGGGAAGAUAAUGACGGUACCCAACAAGGAAGUGACGGCUAACUACGUGCCAGCAGCCGCGGUAAAACGUAGGUCACAAGCGUUGUCCGGAAUUACUGGGUGUAAAGGGAGCGCAGGCGGGAAGACAAGUUGGAAGUGAAAUCUAUGGGCUCAACCCAUAAACUGCUUUCAAAACUGUUUUUCUUGAGUAGUGCAGAGGUAGGCGGAAUUCCCGGUGUAGCGGUGGAAUGCGUAGAUAUCGGGAGGAACACCAGUGGCGAAGGCGGCCUACUGGGCACCAACUGACGCUGAGGCUCGAAAGUGUGGGUAGCAAACAGGAUUAGAUACCCUGGUAGUCCACACCGUAAACGAUGAUUACUAGGUGUUGGAGGAUUGACCCCUUCAGUGCCGCAGUUAACACAAUAAGUAAUCCACCUGGGGAGUACGACCGCAAGGUUGAAACUCAAAGGAAUUGACGGGGGCCCGCACAAGCAGUGGAGUAUGUGGUUUAAUUCGACGCAACGCGAAGAACCUUACCAAGUCUUGACAUCCCUUGACAGGCAUAGAAAUAUGUUUUCUCUUCGGAGCAAGGAGACAGGUGGUGCAUGGUUGUCGUCAGCUCGUGUCGUGAGAUGUUGGGUUAAGUCCCGCAACGAGCGCAACCCUUAUGGUCAGUUACUACGCAAGAGGACUCUGGCCAGACUGCCGUUGACAAAACGGAGGAAGGUGGGGAUGACGUCAAAUCAUCAUGCCCUUUAUGACUUGGGCUACACACGUACUACAAUGGCGUUAAACAAAGAGAAGCAAGACCGCGAGGUGGAGCAAAACUCAGAAACAACGUCCCAGUUCGGACUGCAGGCUGCAACUCGCCUGCACGAAGUCGGAAUUGCUAGUAAUCGUGGAUCAGCAUGCCACGGUGAAUACGUUCCCGGGCCU
rnacentral:rRNA from 1 species